rnacentral:lncRNA from 1 species
UCUCUGACUUAUUUCACUUAGCAUAAUACACUCUAGUUCCUUUCAUGUUGCUGCAAAUGGCAAGAUUUCAUUCUUUUUGAUCACUGAUUAAUAUUCCAUUGUAUAUGUAUAUACCACAUUUUCUUUAUGCAUUUAUCUGUCAAUGGACAUUUGAGCUCUUUCCAUACUUUGGCUAUUGUUGAUAGUACUGCUAUAAACAUGAGGGUGCAUGUGCCCCUUCAAAAAAGCACACCUGUAUCCCUUGGAUAAAUACCUAGGAGUGUAAUCUCUGGGUCAUAGGGUAGCUCUAUUUUUAACUUUUUGAGGAACCUCCAUACUGUUUUCCAGAGUGGCUGCACCAGCUUGCAUUCCCACCUGCAGUGGAGACAUGCCAUUUCUUUCACCAGAGUCUCAGCAGGCUGGAAGGUCAACGAAUGUACCGAGCAUUUGGGAACCAAAAUUGCAUAUAGAGAGGUCAGAGCGAUGCUGUGUCCACACAUACUGGGCCAUGCUCAUUGAGGAAAAUAAUCCAUGGAUGGGGAGAGUACAGUACCUCACAAGCAAGGGAGUAUACUUCCUGAUGGAUUUUGUACAAGAAUGAGUUUUAUAGAGCAUUAGAAGAGGCAACACAGACAUAGGGUGUAAUUGGCUAGGUCACAGAUUUCCUCAUAAGGCUAGCCAGCUCUGUUUUAUUUUUUAAUUUUUCUUAAAGUUUAUUUAUUUUUGGGACAGAGACAGAGCAUGAAUGGGGGAGGGUCAAAGAGAAGGAGACACAGAAUCCGAAACAGGCUCCAGUCUCCAAGCUGUUAGCACAGAGCCUGAUGCGUGGCUUGAACUCAUGGACUAUGAGAUCAUGACCUGAGCCGAAGUCGGCCGCUUAACUGACUGAGCCACCCAGGCGCCCCAUGCCAGCUCAAUUUUCUAGGGUAAGGUAGGCUAGCAAAAGCUGAGUUGGGGGAUAUGAUUAGUUAUGUCAGCAUUCUUUACCGGGUGUUUUUCAUAAGUGCAGGCUGACUUCGCUUUACAUUUGUGACAUGGACUGGGCCACUGGGAUGGCUCUAUUUCGUGGGUCCUGUUAUAUGAAUUAACUUUAUCAGCAUGCUGUUCUUAUUUUAUUUGUGCUCAGUCAUGAUUACAGAGGGUCUUCUUUUUGUCUUGCACCAUUAUGAUCACAGAAUGAACUUGUCUGAUGUUGUGCAAUCCUUUUCGUUCAAUAGAACACCAUGGCCUGCUACUCGGCAAUAGCUCUGAUGCAAAAUGAACAAACCUUUUAAAAGAGUGUCAAAGAGGGGGCACCUGGGUGGCUUAGUCAGGUAACCUUCUGACUUUGGCUCAGGUCAUGAUCUCAGAGUUUGUGAGUUCAAGCCCUGCAUUGGGCUCUGUGUUGAUAACUCAGAGCCUGGAGCUUGUUCAGAUUCUGUAUCUCCUCUCUCUUCCUCUCCCCUCCUCAUGCUCUGUCUCUCCCUCUCUCAAAAGUAAGUAAACAUUUUAAAAAAUUAUAAAAGAAUGUUAAAGAGAAUAGAAGAGAGUUUUAUUUCAACCCAAGUUAGGACAUCUGCCCGCGAAACACAAUCUUCAUAAGGAAGAUACUACUGCAGGGA